rnacentral:rRNA from 1 species
CCUACGGGUGGCAGCAGUCGAGAAUCAUUCACAAUGGGGGAAACCCUGAUGGCGCGACGCCGCGUGGGGAAUGAAGGUCUUCGGAUUGUAAACCCCUGUCAUGUGGGAGCAAAUUAAAAAGAUAGUACCACAAGAGGAAGAGACGGCUAACUCUGUGCCAGCAGCCGCGGUAAUACAGAGGUCUCAAGCGUUGUUCGGAACCACGGGGCGUAAAGCGUGCGUAGGCUGUUUCGUAAGUCGUGUGUGAAAGGCGCGGGCCCAACCCGCGGACGGCACAUGUUACGGCGAGACUAGAGUAAUGGAGGGGGAACCGGAAUUCUCGGUGUAGCGGUGAAAUGCGUAGAUAUCGAGCGGAACACUCGUGGCGAAGGCGGGUUCCUGGACCUUAACUGACGCUGAGGCACGAAGGCCAGGGGAGCGAAAAGGAUUAGAUACCCCUGUAGUC